rnacentral:sRNA from 1 species
AGCAGCCGCGGUAAUUCCAGCUCCAAUAGCGUAUAUUAAAGUUGUUGCAGUUAAAAAGCUCGUAGUUGAAUUUCGGGAUCAAGGGAUCGGUCAUGCCUUGGUAUGUACUGGUCUUAUUGGUUCUCACCUUCUAAAGAACCAUGAUGUCAUUCAUUUGAUGUUAUGGGGAAUUAGGACUGUUACCUUGAAAAAAUUAGAGUGUUUAAAGCAAGCUUACGCUUGAAUACAUUAGCAUGGAAUAAUGAAAUAGGACAUCAGAUUCUAUUUUGUUGGUUUCUAGGAUCGAUGUAGUGAUUAAUAGGGAUAGUUGGGGGCAUUAGUAUUCAAUUGUCAGGGGUGAAAUUCUUGGAUUUAUUGAAGACUAACUACUGCGAAAGCAUUUGCCAAGGAUGUUUUCAUUAAUCAAGAACGAAAGUUAGGGGAUCGAAGACGAUCAGAUACCGUCGUAGUCUUAACCAUAAACUAUGCCGACUAGGGAUCGGAUGAUGUUAAUUUUUUAAUGA